rnacentral:rRNA from 1 species
UUGGGAAUCUUGGACAAUGGGGGAAACCCUGAUCCAGCCAUGCCGCGUGAGUGAUGAAGGCCUUCGGGUUGUAAAACUCUUUCGACGGGGACGAUAAUGACGGUACCCGUAGAAGAAGCUCCGGCUAACUUCGUGCCAGCAGCCGCGGUAAUACGAAGGGGGCUAGCGUUGUUCGGAAUUACUGGGCGUAAAGCGCGCGCAGGCGGUUUUUCAAGUCAGUGGUGAAAGCCCGGAGCUCAACUCCGGAAAUGCCAUUGAAACUGUAAAACUUGAGGAUGAGAGAGGUGAGUGGAAUUCCCAGUGUAGAGGUGAAAUUCGUAGAUAUUGGGAAGAACACCGGUGGCGAAGGCGGCUCACUGGCCCGGACCUGACGCUGAGGCGCGAAAGCGUGGGGAGCAAAC